ACCCGGAGUGAACAUGAGAAGUUACCAGCAUCAGGAAAUGAUGUGUCUCCUGAAUCUGCAGGCUCGCUUUUUAUAACCAUGUUAUUACCAAUGACAGCAUCAGGAUAAACUUGACCAUCUUUCUCUGUUAUUUUUGGUUCUUUCCCAUUCAAAUUUUUAGAAGGGCAACGAGUGUUUGCUUCCAUCUCCUUCAGUUCUAGCUUAUCUACUCUUGUUUCCUUCGCACUGGUACCAUUUUCAGCUGAUAUCAGAGAUGUGCUAGAGAUAAGACCCACAUGAUGGUCAUUUUCAUCUGUUUGGCCCAAAAGUGAAAUAUCG
rnacentral:misc_RNA from 1 species